rnacentral:rRNA from 1 species
UACGAAGGGGGCUAGCGUUGUUCGGAAUCACUGGGCGUAAAGCGCACGUAGGCGGAUCGAUAAGUCAGGGGUGAAAUCCCGAGGCUCAACCUCGGAACUGCCUUUGAUACUGUCGAUCUUGAGUCCGGGAGAGGUGAGUGGAACUCCGAGUGUAGAGGUGAAAUUCGUAGAUAUUCGGAAGAACACCAGUGGCGAAGGCGGCUCACUGGCCCGGUACUGACGCUGAGGUG